rnacentral:rRNA from 1 species
UACAGAGGGUGCGAGCGUUGUCCGGAAUCACUGGGCGUAAAGGGCGCGUAGGCGGCUGGGUAAGCGUGUGGUGAAAGUCCGGGGCUCAACCCCGGAUCGGCCAUGCGAACUGUCCAGCUGGAGCACGGUAGAGGCACAUGGAAUUCCGGGUGUAGCGGUGGAAUGCGUAGAGAUCCGGAAGAACACCGGUGGCGAAGGCAGGUCUCUGGGCCACUACUGACGCUGAGAAGCGGAAAGCAUGGGGAGCGAACAGG